rnacentral:rRNA from 1 species
CGGCAAACGGGUGCGGAACACGUACAGAACCUUCCUUUAAGCGGGGGAUAGCCCGGAGAAAUCCGGAUUAAUACCCCAUAGUAUUAUUGAGUGGCAUCAUUUAAUAAUUAAAGAUUUAUCACUUAGAGAUGGCUGUGCGGCUGAUUAGGUAGUUGGUGUGGGUAACGGCCCACCAAGCCUUCGAUCAGUAACUGGUGUGAGAGCACGACCAGUCACACGGGCACUGAGACACGGGCCCGACUCCUACGGGAGGCAGCAGUAAGGAAUAUUGGUCAAUGGAGGCAACUCUGAACCAGCCAUGCCGCGUGAAGGAUGAAGGCCCUCUGGGUUGCAAACUUCUUUUAUGUGGGAAGAAAUGUAUUCUUUAUAGAGUACUUGACGGUACCAUAGGAAUAAGCACCGGCUAACUCCGUGCCAGCAGCCGCGGUAAUACGGAGGGUGCAAGCGUUAUCCGGAUUCACUGGGUUUAGAGGGUGCGUAGGUGGGAAUGUAAGUCAGUGGUGAAAUCUCCGUGCUUAACACGGAAACUGCCAUUGAUACUAUGUUUCUUGAAUUUUCCGGAGGUCAGCGGAAUAUGUCAUGUAGCGGUGAAAUGCUUAGAUAUGACAUAGAACACCAAUUGCGAAGGCAGCUGGCUACAGGGAUAUUGACACUGAGGCACGAAAGCGUGGGGAUCAAACAGGAUUAGAUACCCUGGUAGUCCACGCCCUAAACGAUGGAUACUCGACAUUUGUGAUAGACAAUAAGUGCC